CGCACGGGUGAGUAACACGUAUCCAACCUGCCGUCUACUCUUGGACAGCCUUCUGAAAGGAAGAUUAAUACAAGAUGGCAUCAUGAGUCCGCAUGUUCACAUGAUUAAAGGUAUUCCGGUAGACGAUGGGGAUGCGUUCCAUUAGAUAGUAGGCGGGGUAACGGCCCACCUAUCUUCGAUGGAUAGGGGUUCUGAGAGGAAGGUCCCCCACAUUGGAACUGAGACACGGUCCAA
rnacentral:rRNA from 1 species